ensembl:lncRNA
GACUUUUAACACCAUCGUCACCAGUACCACUGCCAACAACACGUAUCCAGAGCCUCAAAAGAGCCUCAGUCGGGCAGGGAACCCUCUGUCACGAGGAUUUGGAGAAAGAAUCACAGAAUCCCAGGCCUGGGCACCAGCCGUCUUCUCCAGUGCUUCUCCAGCUUCUCCUGGAUGAAAAUGAAAGCUCUCGCUGACAGCAACAUCAACAGUGACAAACCCGGGCCUUCUACCCGUAACUGCUGAGCCUGCUUCCCAGGAAGAGGUUUUGAGGACUUCCAGAGUUCUCAUCACUAAGAAAAGUUGGGGAGCCUGGCUAGCUACUCUCCUGCUCAGCGAGGCUUCUCCCUUACAACAUCCUGGCCUCAUACCAAGCCAUUCACUCCUACCUCCAUC